rnacentral:rRNA from 1 species
UACGUAGGUGGCAAGCGUUGUCCGGAUUUACUGGGCGUAAAGAGCGCGCAGGCGGUCGUGCAAGUCGAGUGUGAAAGCCCCCGGCUCAACUGGGGAGGGUCACUCGAUACUGCUCGACUCGAAGGCGGGAGAGGGAAGUGGAAUUCCCGGUGUAGUGGUGAAAUGCGUAGAUAUCGGGAGGAACACCAGUGGCGAAGGCGACUUCCUGGCCCGUUCUUGACGCUGAGGCGCGAAAGCUAGGGGAGCAAACGGG